rnacentral:rRNA from 1 species
AGAGUUUGAUCCUGGCUCAGGACGAACGCUGGCGGCGUGCUUAACACAUGCAAGUCGAACGAUGAAGGGGAGCUUGCUCCCUGGAUUAGUGGCGAACGGGUGAGUAACACGUGAGCAACCUGCCCCUAACUCUGGGAUAACGCUUCGAAAGGAGUGCUAAUACCGGAUAUGAGCCUGGAAGACAUCUUCUGGGUUGGAAAGUUUUUCGGUUAGGGAUGGGCUCGCGGCCUAUCAGCUUGUUGGUGAGGUAAAGGCUCACCAAGGCGACGACGGGUAUCCGGCCUGAGAGGGCGACCGGACACACUGGGACUGAGACACGGCCCAGACUCCUACGGGAGGCAGCAGUGGGGAAUAUUGCGCAAUGGGCGAAAGCCUGACGCAGCGACGCCGCGUGAGGGAUGAAGGUCUUCGGAUUGUAAACCUCUUUCAGCAGGGACGAAGCGAAAGUGACGGUACCUGAAGAAGAAGCACCGGCUAACUACGUGCCAGCAGCCGCGGUAAUACGUAGGGUGCAAGCGUUGUCCGGAUUUAUUGGGCGUAAAGAGCUCGUAGGCGGUUAGACACGUCGGAUGUGAAAACUGGGGGCUCAACCCCCAGCCUGCAUUCNNUACGGUCUGACUAGAGUGUGGUAGGGGUAACUGGAAUUCCUGGUGUAGCGGUGAAAUGCGUAGAUAUCAGGAGGAACACCGAUGGCGAAGGCAGGUUACUGGGCCACCACUGACGCU